AUGGCUCAGGAUGAACGCUGGCGGCGUGCCUAAUACAUGCAAGUCGAGCGAACGGACGAGAAGCUUGCUUUUCUGAUGUUAGCGGCGGACGGGUGAGUAACACGUGGAUAACCUACCUAUAAGACUGGGAUAACUUCGGGAAACCGGAGCUAAUACCGGAUAAUAUUUUGAACCGCAUGGUUCAAAAGUGAAAGACGGUCUUGCUGUCACUUAUAGAUGGAUCCGCGCUGCAUUAGCUAGUUGGUAAGGUAACGGCUUACCAAGGCAACGAUGCAUAGCCGACCUGAGAGGGUGAUCGGCCACACUGGAACUGAGACACGGUCCAGACUCCUACGGGAGGCAGCAGUAGGGAAUCUUCCGCAAUGGGCGAAAGCCUGACGGAGCAACGCCGCGUGAGUGAUGAAGGUCUUCGGAUCGUAAAACUCUGUUAUUAGGGAAGAACAUAUGUGUAAGUAACUGUGCACAUCUUGACGGUACCUAAUCAGAAAGCCACGGCUAACUACGUGCCAGCAGCCGCGGUAAUACGUAGGUGGCAAGCGUUAUCCGGAAUUAUUGGGCGUAAAGCGCGCGUAGGCGGUUUUUUAAGUCUGAUGUGAAAGCCCACGGCUCAACCGUGGAGGGUCAUUGGAAACUGGAAAACUUGAGUGCAGAAGAGGAAAGUGGAAUUCCAUGUGUAGCGGUGAAAUGCGCAGAGAUGUGGAGGAACACCAGUGGCGAAGGCGACUUUCUGGUCUGUAACUGACGCUGAUGUGCGAAAGCGUGGGGAUCAAACAGGAUUAGAUACCCUGGUAGUCCAUGCCGUAAACGAUGAGUGCUAAGUGUUAGGGGGUUUCCGCCCCUUAGUGCUGCAGCUAACGCAUUAAGCACUCCGCCUGGGGAGUACGACCACAAGGUUGAAACUCAAAGGAAUUGACGGGGACCCGCACAAGCGGUGGAGCAUGUGGUUUAAUUCGAAGCAACGCGAAGAACCUUACCAAAUCUUGACAUCCUUUGACAACUCUAGAGAUAGAGCCUUCCCCUUCGGGGGACAAAGUGACAGGUGGUGCAUGGUUGUCGUCAGCUCGUGUCGUGAGAUGUUGGGUUAAGUCCCGCAACGAGCGCAACCCUUAAGCUUAGUUGCCAUCAUUAAGUUGGGCACUCUAAGUUGACUGCCGGUGACAAACCGGAGGAAGGUGGGGAUGACGUCAAAUCAUCAUGCCCCUUAUGAUUUGGGCUACACACGUGCUACAAUGGACAAUACAAAGGGCAGCGAAACCGCGAGGUCAAGCAAAUCCCAUAAAGUUGUUCUCAGUUCAGAUUGUAGUCUGCAACUCGACUACAUGAAGCUGGAAUCGCUAGUAAUCGUAGAUCAGCAUGCUACGGUGAAUACGUUCCCGGGUCUUGUACACACCGCCCGUCACACCACGAGAGUUUGUAACACCCGAAGCCGGUGGAGUAACCUUUUAGGAGCUAGCCGUCGAAGGUGGGACAAAUGA
rnacentral:rRNA from 1 species